GCAAGUCGAACGGUAACAUUUCUAGCUUGCUAGAAGAUGACGAGUGGCGGACGGGUGAGUAAUGCUUGGGAACUUGCCUUUGCGAGGGGGAUAACAGUUGGAAGCGACUGCUAAUACCGCAUAAUGUCUUCGGACCAAACGGGGCUUCGGCUCCGGCGCAAAGAGAGGCCCAAGUGAGAUUAGCUAGUUGGUAAGGUAACGGCUUACCAAGGCGACGAUCUCUAGCUGUUCUGAGAGGAAGAUCAGCCACACUGGGACUGAGACACGGCCCAGACUCCUACGGGAGGCAGCAGUGGGGAAUAUUGCACAAUGGGGGGAACCCUGAUGCAGCCAUGCCGCGUGUGUGAAGAAGGCCUUCGGGUUGUAAAGCACUUUCAGUUGUGAGGAAAAGUUAGUAGUUAAUACCUGCUAGCCGUGACGUUAACAACAGAAGAAGCACCGGCUAACUCCGUGCCAGCAGCCGCGGUAAUACGGAGGGUGCGAGCGUUAAUCGGAAUUACUGGGCGUAAAGCGCACGCAGGCGGUUUGUUAAGCUAGAUGUGAAAGCCCCGGGCUCAACCUGGGAUGGUCAUUUAGAACUG
rnacentral:rRNA from 1 species